rnacentral:rRNA from 1 species
AUUGAACGCUGGCGGAAUGCUUUACACAUGCAAGUCGAACGGCAGCACGGACUUCGGUCUGGUGGCGAGUGGCGAACGGGUGAGUAAUGUAUCGGAACGUGCCCAGUCGUGGGGGAUAACGUAGUGAAAAUUACGCUAAUACCGCAUACGUCCUACGGGAGAAAGCAGGGGAUCACUUGUGACCUUGCGCUAAUAGAUGAGCCUAAGUCGGAUUAGCUAGUUGGUGGGGUAAAGGCCUACCAAGGCGACGAUCUGUAGCGGGUCUGAGAGGAUGAUCCGCCACACUGGGACUGAGACACGGCCCAGACUCCUACGGGAGGCAGCAGUGGGGAAUAUUGGACAAUGGGCGAAAGCCUGAUCCAGCCAUUCCGCGUGCAGGAUGAAGGCCCUCGGGUUGUAAACUGCUUUUGUACAGAACGAAAAGGUUUCUACUAAUACUAGGAGCUCAUGACGGUACUGUAAGAAUAAGCACCGGCUAACUACGUGCCAGCCGCCGCUGUAA